rnacentral:rRNA from 1 species
GACGUAGGGCGCGAGCGUUGUCCGGAUUUAUUGGGCGUAAAGAGCUCGUAGGCGGCUUGUUGCGUCAGCUGUGAAAACCCGCAGCUCAACUGUGGGCUUGCAGCUGAUACGGGCAGGCUUGAGUUCGGUAGGGGAGACUGGAAUUCCUGGUGUAGCGGUGAAAUGCGCAGAUAUCAGGAGGAACACCGGUGGCGAAGGCGGGUCUCUGGGCCACUACUGACGCUGAGAAGCGAAAGCAUGGGGAGCGAACAGG